rnacentral:rRNA from 1 species
CAAUAGCGUAUAUUAAAGUUGUUGCAGUUAAAAAGUUCGUAGUUGGAUUUCUGGAUGGAGCGACCGGUCGGGCAUUAAUUUGUCUGCACUGGAGUCGGUUCCGUCCAUCCUCUUGGAAAGUGCGUGGGGCAUUAAGUUGUCUGGCGUAUGAUCCAAGUCGUUUACUGUGAAAAAAUUAGAGUGUUUAAAGCAGGCCUUCGCCUUGAAUACAUUAGCAUGGAAUAAUAAGAUAGGACUUUGGUCUAUUUUGUUGGUUUGCAGACCGAAGUAAUGAUUAAUAGGGAUAGUUGGGGGUAUUUAUAUUCCGAUGUCAGAGGUGAAAUUCUUAGAUUUUCGGAAGAUAAACUUAUGCGAAAGCAUUUACCAAGGAUGUUUUCAUUAA